GAUCCUGGCUCAGGAUGAACGCUAGCUACAGGCUUAACACAUGCAAGUCGAGGGGCAGCGCAGUGUAGCAAUACAUGGGCGGCGACCGGCGCACGGGUGCGUAACGCGUAUCCAACCUUCCCGUUACUCUCGGAUAGCCUUCUGAAAGGGAGAUUAAUACGAGAUGGUGUUGAAAUUCCGCAUGUUAUUUCAACUAAAGAUUCAUCGGUAACGGAUGGGGAUGCGUGACAUUAGGUAGAUGGCGGGGUAACGGCCCACCAUGCCCACGAUGUCUAGGGGUUCUGAGAGGAAGGUCCCCCACACUGGAACUGAGACACGGUCCAGACUCCUACGGGAGGCAGCAGUGAGGAAUAUUGGUCAAUGGCCGGAAGGCUGAACCAGCCAAGUAGCGUGAAGGAUGAAGGUUCUAUGGAUUGUAAACUUCUUUUAUACGGGAAUAAAACCACCUACGUGUAGGUGCUUGUAUGUACCGUAUGAAUAAGCAUUGGCUAACUCCGUG
rnacentral:rRNA from 1 species